rnacentral:lncRNA from 1 species
UUAGGGGCAUUAUAGUCAUUUCACAAUAAAGGAGAGAUCAGACGGCAAAACGGACAUCACUUUUGAACUCAGGACGGUCGAAAACCUUAGGAGGAGCAUAAAAGGAAAAAUGGCACUAUUCACAUGUACGGUACUAUUCACGUGUACGGUACUAUUCACGUGUACGGUACUGUAUACGUUACUGUUCACGACACUGUUCACAUAAACGGAUGAUGACGUGGCAUUGACCGAUGAUGUGGCAUUGACUGAUGAGGUGUCACGAUCCUGUUGGACUAAAAUUCUUAUGUACUGUUGAUGGUGACGUGGCAGCAUAUCAGUGGACGAAAAAUCUCGCGUACGGUGCAUGCAUCACACAGGAUUAUUUUCAACCAAACCGCGUUACUGUUCAUCCGGGUCAAACCGCGUUACUGUUCAAAGUCGGGUCAAACCGU